rnacentral:rRNA from 1 species
GUCUGAUUGGUUGAGCCUGCUGGAAAGCCCAUUGGCCCCCCAAUCCCCACAGCCGCACGCCGCACCUCUCCCUCCUCCGGUCCUCCCUCGUCUCAGCCGCCACCCCCACGAACCCUAGCCGCGCCCUCCUGCAUCUGUCCUCCUGCCCCUGGUCUGCCCCAAGCCCCUCCUCAUCUCCUUGUCGCACCCACCUCAUCACCAGCGACGGCCGCCCUGGACGCAUGAGCUAGCCGAGGAAAAGCGGGGUGGCGCGACGGCGUCGGCCGGCGGGGAGCCUGCGUACCGCGAGCCGCCCGACCUCCUUCCGUGGAUCUGCUCCUCCCAUUUCCUUUUCGUUGAUUUGCUUUUUUUGUUCGCGGCAAAUCUGCCAUGGUAAGGAGGGCCAAGUUCUGGACAGGGCGCCUCAACCUCGCCUUCCUCUUCCACCUGCUCGCUGAUAGAGAGACAGCGGCAGCGGUGGGAGGAGCCUGGGCGUAGAGGGGAGAAGUGACGAGGGGGUGCAGAGCCAGGAGAUGGGGGUUCCUGGAUGAGCACAGCGGCACAGGGCCUGGUCCCGCCGCUGCGAGAGCAGAGUGGAGGACCACACGGGGCCGCGAUGGGGUGGCAUCCGGCGAGACAAGCAGCUCCCAAGCAGGGAAUGCAGCGGUGCUGGCCUCUCCUCUCCCCGCGCCGCUGCUGUCCUGCGUCGUCACUGCCGCCACGGCCUUGCUCGCCAUUGACCUCCCCAAGUGCUUCUCUCCACAAAUGGUGCCGCCAUGUCCAGAUCAAUUUAAGCGUCGGGUACCUCCUGAUUUGAUUUUCUUUAGGAUUUGUAUGGAGCUUGAAUCAGAUCAGCGUAACUUGGAGAUGUUUUUUCUACACGGAUACUUGCAGAUAUAUGGAGGAAGAUUAGUUAGUAAUGCCCAUGUGAAGUUUGAAUGUCCAAUUCAUAGACGUCCUUCAAUUUCAUUACAAUGAUGAUAUGUUUGUUGUUCAUAUUUCCGACAGGAAAACACAACACGUGCACGUAACUUGUUUGAGGAAAUUCCAUCUGGAAGCAAUAUUUGAUCAUGACUUGUGUUCUUGAUGCUUCAUCUGCGGCUAGCUGACUACAACAGCACAGAUGUAAAGGGAAACCAUCUUAAGAAACACAGAAUCCCUCUAAAACCAACCAGCUACAAAUAUGAAAUGGCAUUGCAUUGUUACAUCAGUGGUAAGUUCCUAUGCGUACUCUCUGUUUCUCGGGAAUUGGUUGAAAGUGUUUCUUCUGGCCUUUUUCGGUAAGUGUUUCUUCUGCUAUUGACUCUCUCACUAGGCUUGUUGUCUUUGCUGCUGAAUUUUGCAUUGCUACAGGAAGACAUUGCAUUGUUGAAGGAGUCCAUUGGGGACUGGAGUCGAUGGCCUACAACAUGGGCAGACACGUGUGCUUCAUGAUUGUUGUUGGUUAACUGAGAGUAUAUGAUGCUUUGAAGGAAUGAUGUGCAUAAUUCAGACUAAAUCUUGCUGGUGAUAGUGAGGAGUUUAUUUUGCUGUAGCACUUUGAUUCUUUCUCACUGUCAAAGUUUGUUCAGCUGUUCAGCUCUUCUCUCUCAUAUUUAUUUGUUUGUUUCAGUGUGCUAUGUGCAUCUUGCUGGUGACCCAUGGCCCCCUGUUGUGCUGUCCAUAGAAAGCCUGCACAGGCGGCGGGAGUGGCGGCCAAGAUGAUGGGCGCGGGAGCGGCGCACGUGUGAGCAAUGAUGAGUGUGUCUGCUGCCAACAUGCGAAGAAACUGAACAGGGAAGAGACCCAUGGCCCAGAGUAGUACAUGCAAAUGAAGGAUACCAGAAUUGCCCAUGGAGCAUGAGAUCCUCUUUGUCAGGGGCCACCUUACUUGUAUGGCCUCAGGCUGAGGAGACCCUUCUAAUUAAGGUGGUCACUACUUGCAUAUUUGAACCUAGAAUAGAAUGUCAUUUCGUGUUUGUCAGUAGGAUCUCAUGUUUAAUCUACAGAUCUUUUUAGUCAGUCUAUUUGCAGACCAGUUGCGAGUUAGUACCUGGGAAAAAUGAACAUUUUUCUACCUCAAAUUUGCAUAUCAGUAUCCUUGUCUAAUUUAAGAUUGCUUUUCUUACUAUGAAGAAGAUUUGUGCUGCUGUAGUGUUCUUCAGUUUCUGGUGUUUAGAUGCCAGUUCAUUGUUGAGACAGUUCUGCUAUGUCCGUCUUCUGAAAAAUACAGUAAGUAAAUUUUGUUUUCUGGACAUUGUCGCAGAUCCUAUUCGCCAAAGGAAAAAUAAAUAGAUAUAGAGGUAUAAAUUCAACAAAAAACAUUUUUUGAUUAAAAGGCUAUUCCAUUUGUCACCUACUGUACUUGCCCAUGACUAAAACAAUUAAUACAUGGUUUUCUUUUCAAAGCAUACAUGGAAUUAGUAGGCCUCUGCGCAAUUUGGUGCAACGGGUAUAAUGCUGCCAGGAGAUUAAGUAUAUUCAUGAAGUUGUGCAAAGUUAAAAAUUGGUUGCGCUAUCUCACAUUUGUCAAAUCCUCAUAUGUUGCUGGUAGCCAUGCUUAUGCCCAGAAUAUUAAGUAAGCUUGUGCUAUGCUGUGACUAAAUAAAGCAUUGUUCAGACUUAUCUUUUGUUUGCUCUACUUAAAGUGUUCAGGGUUUACCCAGAGGGCAAUUAUAUGUUCCCUACUGCCGUCUCCCGCGUGACGUCAAGAAAAUCCCUGAUGUUUCUGUUUUACUUGGCCUAAAUUUUGGUUUUCAAAUAGUUCUGCCUCUCAAUUUGAUAUUUCUACUUGCUUUUGCUUAGUAAUAUGAUGUACUGUUUUCUAGCUCUAGGCCUACUUGUGUUUAAGGUUCAGUUGAUUGUUUUUCUUAAGGGUGUUUUUUUUAAUUAGUGGCAUCAACAUGUGGCACUAAUUCCGUUGUGCAUUGUACUGUGAUUUUUUCAAACAACACCAUUAUGGUAAACAGAGAUGCUAAUGAGAAUAACAGAGAUGCUAAGAGGCAGCCUUUUGGGGUUAAGGAUAUAAACAACAACAUGGCUUAUGAGUCCGAAGAGAGCCCGAGUGGCGUCUUUUGGUUCUUGAAGCCCUGCACUUUCCUGGUGGAGUAGCAGCAAAAUAAUUCAGAGACUUUCAAGCUACUGCUUUUCAUGUAGUUAGGAUCAAUUUUUGGUCUCAGUUUGAAAUACUCUCCACUUCCUCCUAUUUGAUUGAUUUGUCUGAUGGACAUUUUGUCAGGCAAAUAAACAGAAGGCAUAUGUAUUAUUACGAGUGAAGCCAUCCAUACAAGUCAAGAUAUUAAUAAUCCCAUAUGUGGAAUUCGAGAUAUAGAGAAAUGUUAUUAUUCUUCUGCUAAUUGGUUGCUUGACCAAAUAUACUGUAAAUGACAUUAUUAUUGUUCAAGAUAUACAUCAAUGUUGUUGUUCUUCAUUGUAGUGGAUGAUAUCCAUCCCAAUUAUUGAGAUGACGGAAGUACUACUAAGGAGUUUUGUCUCUGAC